rnacentral:lncRNA from 1 species
CCAAUAAAAAACUCUCCUUUUAUAAAACCUAGUGUUGAUAAUCUCGAAAAAGAUUGUUUCGUUGUGGUGCAGUUUAUUUAUGACAAACAGUUAAAAACUGAGAAAAUUAAAAAAUUUGUAGCUCAAAUAUUGGAAGCAGAUAAAGCAAAACAGUCAUAUCUUAUAAAUUGUAUGAGGCCAUAUGGUGAAAAAAAUACUACUUUUAUUUUUCCACAUGUUAAUGAUAUUUGUGAAGUACCCUUACAUAAUAUCAUUUUAAAAUUGAGUCAGCCUAUAAUACACAGAGGUCGACAUACUUUUGCAAAUUCUGUCUUUGAUUAGUUUUCUGUGUAAAAACUUUCGUGUUUAAUUAAAGCCUUGAAGAAAUGUUAAA